UACAGAGGAUGCAAGCGUUAUCCGGAAUGAUUGGGCGUAAAGCGUCUGUAGGUGGCUUUUUAAGUCCGCCGUCAAAUCCCAGGGCUCAACUCUGGACAGGCGGUGGAAACUACCAAGCUGGAGUACGGUAGGGGCAGAGGGAAUUUCCGGUGGAGCGGUGAAAUGCGUAGAGAUGCGGAAGAACACCAGUGGCGAAGGCGGUUUACUGGUCUCCAACUGACACUGAGCCGCGAAAGCAUGGGUAGCGAACGGG
rnacentral:rRNA from 1 species